UGCCAAAGUGUUGAGUUCAGUUCAGGGCAGCUUCCCUGUUCUGUUAAUUAAACUUUGGGACAUUGAAAAAGUGGCUAGUGAGGAUGAUUGGAUAGAAAACAUUAUUCUAUUCAUUUACUUCUCAGCCUACAGUA
rnacentral:snoRNA from 1 species